AUGCCUUUCCCAAGUGACCCCACUCUCACCAACUAUCAGGAGGAUGGACGGCGGCCCGCACUCCAUAAUGUUCAGCUUAUGAAAUAUUUGUCUAUGAAUCUAUGCUCCAGUAAGGGACAAUUUCAGUUAUUGAGACAAUGUAGACAGCUUCAAUCCCAGGUGCCUGAGAGCCAGGAAUCCAUUCACAGGACCUGCAGCUUCACAGAUGGAAGCUCCCGUUAUAAAAAGCUCAGCCCUAACCUUGCCUUGACUGAUCAGGACUCCUCAGGUCACCUUCUCACAGUGAGGCUCCCUGCUCAGCUCCUGGGGCUACUGGUGCUCUGGCUCCCUGGGACCAGUGGGGAUAUUGUGAUGACCCAGACUCCACUCUCCCUGCCCGUCACCCUUGGAGAGCCGGCCUCCAUCUCCUGCAGGUCUAGUCAGAGCCUCCUGCAUACAUGGUAUCAGCAGAAACCAGGGAAAGCCCCUAAGCUCCUGAUCUAUGCUGCAUCCAGUUUGCAAAGUGGGAUCCCCUCUCGGUUCAGUGGCAAUGGAUCUGGGACAGAUUUCACUCUCACCAUCAGCAGCCUGCAGCCUGAAGAUUUUGCCACUUAUUACUGUCAACAGCAUUACAGUUACCCUCCCACAGUGUUAGAGGUCAUAAUAUAA